CCUACGGGGGGCAGCAGUGGGGAAUAUUGGGCAAUGGGCGCAAGCCUGACCCAGCAACGCCGCGUGAAGGAAGAAGGCUUUCGGGUUGUAAACUUCUUUUAAGAGGGAAGAGCAGAAGACGGUACCUCUUGAAUAAGCCACGGCUAACUACGUGCCAGCAGCCGCGGUAAUACGUAGGUGGCAAGCGUUGUCCGGAUUUACUGGGUGUAAAGGGCGUGCAGCCGGGAGUGCAAGUCAGAUGUGAAAUCCCGCGGCUCAACCGCGGAACUGCAUUUGAAACUGUGCUUCUUGAGUGCUGGAGAGGCAGACGGAAUUCCUAGUGUAGCGGUGAAAUGCGUAGAUAUUAGGAGGAACACCAGUGGCGAAGGCGGUCUGCUGGACAGUAACUGACGGUGAGGCGCGAAAGCGUGGGGAGCAAACAGGAUUAGAUAC
rnacentral:rRNA from 1 species